UUAAGCAUAUCAAUAAGCGGAGGAAAAGAAACUAACAAGGAUUCCCCUAGUAACUGCGAGUGAAGCGGGAAGAGCUCAAAUUUAAAAUCUGGCGUGCCUCUGGCCGUCCGAGUUGUAGUCUGGAGAAGCGUUUUCUGUGUUGGACCGUGUAUAAGUCUCUUGGAAUAGGGCGUCAUAGAGGGUGAGAAUCCCGUCUUUGACACGGACUACCAAUGCUUUGUGAUGCGCUCUCAAAGAGUCGAGUUGUUUGGGAAUGCAGCUCAAAAUGGGUGGUAAAUUCCAUCUAAAGCUAAAUAUAGGCGAGAGACCGAUAGCGAACAAGUACCGUGAGGGAAAGAUGAAAAGCACUUUGGAAAGAGAGUUAAACAGUACGUGAAAUUGCUGAAAGGGAAACGCUUGAAGUCAGUCGCAUCUGCCAGGACUCAGCCUCACUUCUGUGUGGUGUACUUUCUGGUUUGAUGGGCCAACAUCAAUUUUGACCGUUGGAGAAAGGCUUUGGGAAUGUGGCACCUUCGGGUGUGUUAUAGCCCUUUGUUGUAUGCAACGGUUGGGAUUGAGGACUGCAGCACGCCUUUAUGGCCGGGGUUCGCCCACGUA
rnacentral:rRNA from 1 species